ensembl:lncRNA
GGACACUGUACCUUGGGACGAGCACUAUGAGACCAGCUGUGUGGUGUGGGAAAGGGGAUGGAGACAACAGCAUCACCUGGGAAUAGGAGCCAAAGAGAAAGAUGGAGGAUGCAUCACUGUGAGCAUCAGUGGAUGCAGUUGCUGUUGAGGUGCUUCCGGACCUUUUCAUGCCUCCACUCCUGCACACCAGGAACCCUCUCCCUACAGGAAAGUGGGGAGCUUUGGUUUUAUUCCAUCUUUUCCUCGUGCCAAAGUCUAUGUAAUACCAGGUUUGCUGUGUUUUGGGUUUUCUUUUUUUUUCAUUUUGAUCCCACAAAUGCCUCUUGGGAAGGUCAGUACAUCUCCCAGUCUACCAUUCAGUUGUGUUCUUGGAGCUUGCAAAACCCAAGGAGACCUCCAUCAUUCAGUUUGAUCAUCACUUCCUUGUUGAGACUUCAAUGGCUGGAGUGUUAGAGAACAUUACUGAUAAACAAUAGAUGUCUGAU